GAUUAACGCUGGCGGCGUGCCUAACACAUGCAAGUCGAGCGGCAGCGCGUUUUACACUGAAUUCUGGAAGCUUCUAGUUGAAAGAGAAGAUUUAUUCAAGAAUUUUGUGUAAAAUGUCGGCGAGCGGCGGACGGCUGAGUAACGCGUGGGAACGUACCCCAAAGUGAGGGAUAACGCAUCGAAAGGUGUGCUAAUACCGCACAUGGUCUUCGGAUUAAAGCCUUCGGGCGCUUUGGGAACGGCCUGCGUAAGAUUAGAUAGUUGGUGGGGUAAUGGCCUACCAAGUCGACGAUCUUUAACUGGUUUGAGAGGAUGAUCAGUCAGACUGGAACUGAGACACGGUCCAGACUCCUACGGGAGGCAGCAGUGAGGAAUCUUCCACAAUGGGCGAAAGCCUGAUGGAGCAACGCCGCGUGCAGGAUGAAGGCCUUCGGGUUGUAAACUGCUUUUAUAAGUGAGGAUUAUGACAGUAACUUAUGAAUAAGGAUCGGCUAACUACGUG
rnacentral:rRNA from 1 species